rnacentral:rRNA from 1 species
AGAGUUUGAUCCUGGCUCAGAUUGAACGCUGGCGGCAUGCCUUACACAUGCAAGUCGAACGGUAACAGGUCUUCGGAUGCUGACGAGUGGCGAACGGGUGAGUAAUACAUCGGAACGUGCCCGAGAGUGGGGGAUAACGAGGCGAAAGCUUUGCUAAUACCGCAUACGAUCUCAGGAUGAAAGCAGGGGACCGCAAGGCCUUGCGCUCACGGAGCGGCCGAUGGCAGAUUAGGUAGUUGGUGGGAUAAAAGCUUACCAAGCCGACGAUCUGUAGCUGGUCUGAGAGGACGACCAGCCACACUGGGACUGAGACACGGCCCAGACUCCUACGGGAGGCAGCAGUGGGGAAUUUUGGACAAUGGGCGCAAGCCUGAUCCAGCCAUGCCGCGUGCAGGAUGAAGGCCUUCGGGUUGUAAACUGCUUUUGUACGGAACGAAAAGACUCCUUCUAAUAAAGGGGGUCCAUGACGGUACCGUAAGAAUAAGCACCGGCUAACUACGUGCCAGCAGCCGCGGUAAUACGUAGGGUGCGAGCGUUAAUCGGAAUUACUGGGCGUAAAGCGUGCGCAGGCGGUUAUGUAAGACAGAUGUGAAAUCCCCGGGCUCAACCUGGGAACUGCAUUUGUGACUGCAUAGCUAGAGUACGGCAGAGGGGGAUGGAAUUCCGCGUGUAGCAGUGAAAUGCGUAGAUAUGCGGAGGAACACCGAUGGCGAAGGCAAUCCCCUGGGCCUGCACUGACGCUCAUGCACGAAAGCGUGGGGAGCAAACAGGAUUAGAUACCCCGGUAGUCC